rnacentral:rRNA from 1 species
GCGGUGAAAUGCGUAGAUAUCAGGAGGAACACCGGUGGCGAAGGCGGGUCUCUGGGCCGAUACUGACGCUGAGGAGCGAAAGCGUGGGGAGCGAACAGGAUUAGAUACCCUGGUAGUCCACGCUGUAAACGUUGGGCGCUAGGUGUGGGGACCAUUCCACGGUUUCUGUGCCGCAGCUAACGCAUUAAGCGCCCCGCCUGGGGAGUACGGCCGCAAGGCUAAAACUCAAAGGAAUUGACGG